UCCGCCAAAUCUGGUCAGCUAAGACUAGGCUUUUCCAUUAUUCCCCAGGGAAGAAGACAUCUUUCUCCUUCGUCUCUCUCCCCCUUCUCUCUCUCUUCUCUUUGUGAAGUGAGUCAGUGGAACGCGGCGGGAGGGCGUGCCCAAAGGGGCGUGUCCAAAGACCCUUUCGAGACUACAUUGAUGAUUGAGGCUUUCUCGGAACACCCACACACAAGCAUAAACUUUUCUUGCCCUCUCAACGUUGACGCCGUCGUCGUCAUUCUUCCUCCCUACUCGCCAUAUACUCGUAGAGAUAGAUGAUCGUGAUUGACAGACACCGAGAGAGCAGGAGUGAGAUGAGCCUCAAAAGUCGAAAACCAUUGGCCCCAAUUCCCAGACACUCGACACUCACUCAGAUAUCCAGUGUUUUGGUCAUGGUCGCUGUUCCUUGUUCAUAAUACGUAAAUGUGCUACAUUGUACCCCUUCCAACCGUGAGGUGAUUGUUUUCACACAAUUGAUAAAUAAACCCGGGUCAAUAUUCAUGA